CCGGCUCUUGCCCGGUGGCAUUAAUAUCUCACUGGGGCCUCCAAAUGUUGUACUUGAGUGAGUUAGAGAAAACGCCACACUUUGAGAGGAAUUGAGAGACCGUUUAUUU
rnacentral:pre_miRNA from 13 species